UACUAUACUUUUAUUAGUACGAUCGCCUUCGUACUCAUAAGUUAUUUUCGAUGAUAGAGCUUUCUAAUCGACGAUCCAUACUGUUAAACAUUAUCUAUAGCAUUUAAAACUUAUAGAAAUCAAAUUUUAUAAUUUUUCAAUAUCAUUUACCUUACGAUUACAAGCUCACAAAAAUGACAAUUUUUAACAGCCAGUAUAAAAUAUUUGCUAGUUUAAUGGUGAAAAAGAAUCAGAAUUGGUUGAAUUUUUGAUAGAAAAUUAUAUUCAGUACUUAAAUAAAGAUCAAUAACUCCGAUCUUAAAUUGAAGGAUCCGAUCAUUCAUUUUUAGGAUGUUGUUCAAUUUUAACCAUUCAUUUUAUACCCAUUUGAUGAACUUUAUAAUGAUUUCGAAAAGUUACGAAAUUUAUUUUCUAAAAAUUUCAAAUACUCUGGAUCAUAUUUAACGGUGUGGAUCAUCGAUUCGAAAAGCCCAACAUCAAAAAUAACUUAUGAGUACGAAGAGCUCUAUACUCAAAAGAGUAUAGUAGCCCUACUAUAUAUAUAGAGAGAGAGAGUUGAGCUAGAAUACUCUCAAAAACACCAUUAAGGUGGUGCUUUUGGAAGUAUUCUAGCUCGACUCAUCCUAACCCUACAAUUUCUCAUCCAAGGAUUAAAAACUUGAUAGUAAAAAGAAACUUUUGCUAUCAAUAGUAUUCCAGCCUAUAUAUAUAUAUAUAUAUAUAUAUAUAUAUCGAGAGAGAGAGAGAGAGAGAGAGAGUAGGGCUACUAUACUCUUAUGAGUAUAGAGCCCUUCGUACUCAUAAGUUAUUUUCGAUGUUCAGGCUUCUGAAUCGACGAUCCACACCGUUAAACAUGAUCUAGAGUAUUUGAAACUUCUAAAAAAUAAAUUUCGUAACUUUUCAGUUACGGAAUCAUUAUAAAGUCCAUCAAGCAGAUAUAAAAUGAACGAUCAAAAUCGAACGACAUCAUAAAAAUAGAUGAUCGAAUCCUUCAAUUUAGGAUUGGGAUUCUUGAUCUUUAUCUAGGUAAUGAAUAGUAUUUUCUAUCAAAAAUUCAAGCUAUUUCGAUUUUUUACACCGUUAAACUAGCAAGUAUUACAUACCGGCCGUUAAAAAUUGUCAAUUUUGUGAGUUAUUGAUCGUAAGGUAAAUGAUAUCGAAAAAUUAUAAAAUUUAAUUUCUAGAAGUUUUAAAUGCUCUAGAAAAUAUUUAACGGUAUGGAUCGUUGAUUCGGAAGCUCUAUCAUCGAAAAAGACUUAUGAGUACGAAAGCGAUCGUACUCAUAAAAAUAUAACUAGACUGGAAUACUAUUAAUAGCCACAAUGACUUGGUACUAUUAAAUUUUCUGCUCUUGGAUUAAAAAAAUAUACGGCUAGAAUGAUGUGGGCCCCCUAGAGUUGAGUGGAUGAUUGGUUGAAUAGUAUAAUCUAACGGAUAAAAAUAAUCAAAGGAGUUAAUCUAACGAAAAAAAACUUGAUAGCACCAAGUGCUUGGUGCUAUCGAUAGCAUAGCAACCGUACUCUAUAUAUAUAUAUAUAUAUAUAUAUAUAUAUAUAUAUAUAUAUAUAUAUAUAUAUAUAUUAAAGAGCAAUAGAACCAAACAACGCCUCAACCAAAUGGCAAAAAAAGGACAUCCACUUACCAACCAGCCGAUGAUGUUAGGUUGAAAAGGCUGCUGAUCAACACUUUGCGCCACGAAAUACAUUUAAGCUUUGAAAAAAAAUCACUGAGGACUGAAAAUUGUUCGCUAUCAACUACAACCAGCACGUCAUUCAAUUCAACCUCACAAUGGAAGCCUCUUUUUCACCCGGAUCCAGAAUAUAGGAGAGUCAGCAGAGGCAUGACAAGCCAUGCACAAGAACACACACAGACGGAAAGGGAUAGAACCACAUUCGGUACGCUUGGAAGUACUAAUCAGGUAUCAGGUAUAUAUGAUUCCUGUUGAUGAGAUUACUUCGAUUUAUAACGAUGGUGUAACAUUUUCUUUUUUCCACUUAUCAGGACAUGAAAAUGGGAAGGCUAGCACUCUUCCUGGAUUUGCAGAUCGGACAGAGUUCCACUAAGCGCUCACAGUGCUCACACAAGCACAGAUGCCGGCACGGCAUCAAAAGCAUGCAAACUUCCUGACACUUGCACGACCUACACACCAGCUGCUGACUCAGCUUUCUCGGCUGACGAGGGAAAUCCUCGCCUCCGAUCAGCACAUUAGGGUUGUAAGAAGAGACCGCCGUAUUGUCUACUUCGCUCUCCCCACACCCUUCCUUGGCAUGAUCUCCGGCCCCCCCCUGCGCUAAGGCUUGGUUGAGGUUACUCUUCAGCAUAUUGAUGAUGGACUCAUUGUACCAUGCUCUGCAUUGCCAUGAUUGGGCCUCCAUCGACACUAGCUUGAUCCGUUCGACUAGCUCUUUGUUUUUCCUACUCAUAUUCUCCACCUCGAGCUCUUUCUCACGCAGUUUCCUUCCCACCCCUUUCUCGAUGGCGUUUAGGAAUGCAACUGUGUGCCUCUGGGUCAUCUCUCUCAUGCCUUUCAUCAUUUGUUCCUCCUCGCAAUUACCCAAAAAAAUAGAAAAAAGCUUCAAUUAACAUUGAAAAGCAUAGCUUCAAAAAAUGCAGACAGUCUGGACACAUGGUAUCUAGGUAAUAUCUAUGGAUGAAAACAAAACACUAGACCGAGUUUUAGUACUAAAGAGCCAGGAAAAAAGAGAAUCAAGAGAAAGAGUAAGAAAACAAAACACACUAAUUUACGUAACGUAGUUCGGCCAUUAGCCGGCAUCUACAGGCAAGGACAGAAAAUAUUUCAUUAUAAUCAAAGUUGAGUACCAGAAAGAAGCAUGUCUCCCAGAAAACCCUACCUCAAAAUGCACUCAAUGCUUUCCUCAUCCCAAACACUCACAAAGAAAAGGGGCACAUAUACAUAAGCAACCAAACCAGAUCAAGGCUUAGGAAAUAUCCCGGCCCUAACAAAAUGGGACCCUCAAGAAAAUUUUCCAUUCAUUUCAGCUCCCAAAAAUAUCAAGCCACAACAUAAAGUGGGCCGGGCCCAAAAAUUUGAGACACAUUUAACUAGUUCUAAUUUGACAAGAACAUGGGAUGCAAGACUACCACACAUGAAAAUCUUCCCUAUUAAACAAGACAGCUAUAAAUACCAAGUACGAAACAGCAAUAUGUUUUCUAGUGUAAAUAAUAUUUAUGACUUAAUCCAUAGAACUUAUCAUUUCUGUCAAGAAUGGUUGACCUAAUCAAACCAUGUUAAGCUCAUUCUGACAUGUGAAUAAGAUAUUGACCUUGAGCAACCCAUAGGAUAUCCACUGCAGUUUGUUCUGAUAAAAUGAUAUUGGUAAAAAUCUAGAACAUAGUUUGUGCCCAUAAACAAUAUUUAUGCUCAAAUGCUUUUCACUAAUAAAAGUACGAGCAUCCAGUUGCUUCACAAACAAGUAGGUUACUAGAGAGAUUCUUUUGCCAGCAGAUAAAUGCUAGUUUAGAAAAAUAAUCUGGCAAAUCUUUCUGCAAGAAAAGUAAAAUAUGCAUGUUGAAAUAUUCCCUAAAUGAGUCAUAAAACUAAUAUGUGCAUGUUCAACGAUUCCCUAAAUCACAUAAAGCAGUUAGAAUGCAUCAGUUCUUACAAAACGGAAUAUAUUUCCUCACAUACUACAUAAAUCACAUAAAAUGCGCAAUAUAUGGGCGUAAGGUAUCAAGUAUCAACUAGAACAAUUCAUCUCUCUACACAUGCAGCAAAAUUUGCCUGCAGCCCAAAUAUAUAAUGUUGUCGUAAAAAUGCGUACCUGAAUUUUAAUGUAAUUAUCAAACUCUUCAUUUUGCCGGUCAAUCUCAGCCCUCAGAUCAUCACUAAUGGACAUCAUGAUAGGAAGUGAAGUCAUGCUUCCACUAGCAGAUGUAAUAGAGGAGUUGUGUUCAUCAUCAUCAUAGGAGAGUCUUAACCCGGUUGACACAGCAUUUGGAUUGCGGAAACCCAUUGCUAUUCGAUCAGCCUCGUCCUGGCCAAAAUUGCCCAAGGAAAUCUGAAGCUUGUACUGCCUUUCCGUGUCAUCCAUCUCCCUCUUUAUUUGGUUUGGUUGGCUUAGACCAGAAAAAUUAUGAUGUCCGACAUUGUUAACAGGACCAACGUUACAUGUAGCAGGAACUGCAUUAAUAUCAAGAAGAAAGAAAAAAAAAAUCAGUCUAUAUGAGAACCAAAAGUUUCUUCUACUCAGUUAAUAUGGCUUUUCUAGUAAGUACUAAAGCAUGACCCACUUCCUUCUAUUUAAAAUGCAACAGACACCGUCUAAUUCAGACACUAUGCAUAAAAACUUGUCUCAAAAAAUACAUGUAUAAACAUUGCACAAGUGGCUUACAACUGUGAUUUGUAUACUGACUGGUUCCUUUUAGAAAAUUCUUGCUUCACAAGGCCCUAUUUUGUAUGAGGAUAAUGUUGAGAUAUAUAUAAUUCUAUAUGAGUCCGGCUACUAUGACUAUAUCAAUAGUAUUAAGCUCUUGAUACUAUCGAAUUUUCUGCCGUUAGAUCUAUCCUUUGAUCAUUUCCACCGUUAGAUUAUACUAUUCAACCAACCACCCCACUCAAGCCUGAUGGACCACUAUCAUCCUAACUGCACAUCCUUUCAUCCAAUGGCCGAAAACUCGAUAGUACUAAACGUGGUACUAUCGAUAGUAUAGUAGCAUAAUUCCAUUAUUAUUAUAUAUAUAUAUAUAUAACAGUUGGACUGGGCUACUAUUAGUAGCAAAAUCUCAUUGUUGCACUACAAUUUUUUAGCCUUUAGAUCAACUCUUUUCAUUAUUUCUAACCAUUGGAUUAAAUACUAUAACCCAGUGAGGACCACUCAACCCUAGGGGGACCACUCAACUCUAACGACUAAUAUCAUUUUGACCCUACAAUUUUCAUCCAAGGGUUAAAAACUUGAUAGCAAAAAGAGCGUUUUACUAUUAAUAGUAUUCAGCCUAAUCUAUAUAUACAUAUAUGAGUUCGGCUACUGGUAUACUAUCGGUAGCACAGAGGCUUCUGUGCUACCAAUUUGUUUUUCGAUGAUGCGCUUCCAAAUCGACGAUCGCUCCAUUAGACUUGAAUCUACACUAUUGAAAGUACUUGAAACUAAAUUUCAGAAUUUUCGACAUCAUUUGGCUAGUGAUCAAAAGGUCUCAAAAUUGACAAUUUUAAUGGUAGAUGUGAUGCAUUUGUAAAUUUAACGGUGUAAAACAAUUCAAAUCAAAUGAAAUUUGCAUAGAAAAUUCUUUUUACUAUUUAGAAUAAGAUCAGUACCUCUGAUCUUAAAUUCAAGUCUUCUAUCAUCAUUUUUUAUGAAAUUUUUAUUUUCGGCCGUUCAUUUUUAGACUACUCUUUUGAUAGAUAAAUGAUACCGAAAAGUUAUGAAAUUUAGUUUCCAAAUACUUUCAAUAGUGUAGAUCAAGUCUAACGGAGCCGAUCGUCAAUUUGGAAGCGGCAUCAUUGAAAACAACUUGGUAGCACAGAGGCAUCCGUGCUACCGAUAGUAUAGCAGCCUAGCUCUAUACAUAUAGGCUAGGGCUACUAUACUCUUAUAAGUAUAACCCUUUUUGUACUCAUAAAUUUUCGACCAUUGGACGAAGAGAUGUGCGGUUAGGAUGAUAGUGGUCUCCUAGGAUUGAGUGGGUGGUUGGUUGAAUAGUAUGAUCUAACGGAUGAAAAUGAUCAAAGAAGUAAAUCUAACGGCAAAAAACUUAUGAGUACAAAGGGCCCUAUACUCAUAAGAGUAUAGUAGCCGGGCUCUCUCUAUAUAUAUAUCUAUAUAUAUAUAUAGAAAAAGAGAGAGAGAGAAAGAGAGAGGUCCGACUUUUAUGCUUUUAGAAGCAUGGUGACCUCUAUGCCGUCAAGUCGUUUCCGAUGCUAAGAUAUCCGAAUCAAUGAUCGGCUUCAUUAGACUUGGAGUAUUUGAAAAAUAAAUUUCGCAGUGUCUUGAUAUCAUUUACCUAGUGAUCAAAGAGCCCAAAAUCAACAAUUUUAAUGGUCAUAGAAAGCCUUUAGUAAGUUUAACAAUGUAAAAAUAUCCAAAUCAUAUAAAAUUUUGAAAGAAAAUAUUUUAUAAUAUAUAAAAUAAGAUCAAUAUCGUCGAUCUAAAAUUUUAGUUGUUCGUUGAUUUUAAGCUCUUUCAAUCACUAGGUAAAUGAUAUCGAAAAAUGGCGAAAUUUAUUUUCUAGCUACUUCAAAUACUCUAGAUCAAGUAUAAGGGAACCGAUCAUCGAUUCAGAAGUCUCAAUAUCAAAAACGACUUAAUAACACGGAAACCACGUGCUUCUAAAAGCGCACAAGCAGGACUAUAUAUAUAUAUAUAUAUAUAUAUAUAUAUAUAUNUUACUACUAUCUUCUGAACUUAAAUUCUAGUCUCUAUGACUAGAAUAAGAUUUAUCAUUUUUUUUAAAAGAUACUUUUAAA
rnacentral:lncRNA from 1 species